GGCAGAGAUUUUUCUUCAAAUUCUAAAUCGGAUCAGUAUUUGUUUACCGAUACUCUUUGUCUUCUCCAGUCAACUCCUCACUCACUGUUUUCCUAAAUUUAUCACACACACACACAAUCAAGAGAGAGGAGGGACAAACGUUUCUUGGCGGCAAUGUCGGAGGAGGCAAUGAAUCUGGCGACGGCAGAAGACGGGAACGUGGGCUAGGUGGCAUGGCCCGAGCGAUGCUUCUAGACAGGCGAAGGAUUCGACGACGGCGUGUAGGUGGCAAUUGGUGGAGUAGUAGAAGAAAUCGACAGGGCGCCGCUGCGAGCGGUGGC
rnacentral:lncRNA from 1 species